UGCCCAGCAACUCCUAUCCCUACAUCCACGUGGUACCGGCCGGAAACUAUGAGCAACCAUAGGGAAGAACGGGCAACGGACCCCGGUGGGAACUUGGACAGGGAAGG
rnacentral:ribozyme from 1 species